AGAGUUUGAUCAUGGCUCAGGACGAACGCUGGCGGCGUGCCUAACACAUGCAAGUGGAGCGACGAACCGGGCUUCGGCCCGGGGCAAAGCCGCGAACGGGUGAGUAACACGUGGGUAACGUGCCCCGAUGAUUGGGACAACCCGAGGAAACUCGGGCUAAUACCAAAUGUGCACUCCAGCCAUAAGGCUGGUUUGGAAAGGAAGCUUCGGCCUCCGCAUCGGGAUCGGCCCGCGGCCCAUUAGCUUGUUGGUGAGGUAACGGCUCACCAAGGCUACGAUGGGUAGCUGGUCUGAGAGGACGAUCAGCCACACUGGGACUGAGACACGGCCCAGACUCCUACGGGAGGCAGCAGUGGGGAAUCUUGCGCAAUGCGCGAAAGCGUGACGCAGCAACGCCGCGUGGGUGAAGACGGCCUUCGGGUUGUAAAGCCCUUUCAGUUGGGACGAAGCUUCGCCGGUUAAUAGCCGGCCGGAGUGACGGUACCUUCAGAAGAAGCCCCGGCUAACUACGUGCCAGCAGCCGCGGUAAUACGUAGGGGGCAAGCGUUGUCCGGAAUCAUUGGGCGUAAAGCGCGUGUAGGCGGCUCGAUAAGUCUGCUGUGAAAGUCCAGGGCUCAACCCUGGAAUGCCGGUGGAAACUGUCGGGCUAGAGUCCGGAAGAGGCGAGUGGAAUUCCUGGUGUAGCGGUGAAAUGCGCAGAUAUCAGGAGGAACACCAAUGGCGAAGGCAGCUCGCUGGGACGGUACUGACGCUGAGACGCGAAAGCGUGGGGAGCAAACAGGAUUAGAUACCCUCGUAGUCC
rnacentral:rRNA from 1 species